rnacentral:rRNA from 1 species
UACGGGGGGAGCAAGCGUUGUUCGGAUUUACUGGGCGUAAAGGGCGCGUAGGCGGUCAGCACAAGUCAGUUGUGAAAUCUCCGAGCUUAACUCGGAAAGGUCAACUGAUACUGUGCGACUAGAGUGCAGAAGGGGCAACUGGAAUUCUUGGUGUAGCGGUGAAAUGCGUAGAUAUCAAGCAGAACACCUGCGGCGAAGGCGGCCUUCUGGACGAUGACUGACGCUGAGACGCGAAAGCGUGGGGAGCAAACAGG